CAGUACUGGGCUUCAUCAUUGCAGCUCCCUGUGAUUUCAUCAGUGGAACUUGGCCUUGGAGCACAAGUUGAAAAAUGGAGGCCAAGAGAGGUAUUCCAGUAGCAAGUGGCAGAAUCUGGAUUCUUCUGCAGAUAAUUGGGACUGAAGUGAGACAACAGGAAGAACUUCCCAACAGCAAAGAGUGUGAACUAUGCGAAUACGUGAAGGCGGCUGCAAACCAUCUUCUCUAACUCUUAAGGAUAGAGAGACAUUGGAGGAGCCAGCAUUUGGAUCCCAAGGGUUGUUUAUUUUGACUCACUGCUGUUUUUGCUGGAGAAGGGUAAAACAGAAAGUUCCUUUACUUUGGCUAAGAUGUGGCACACAUAACUGCCCUGAGCCCGAAUUUCUGAUGAGCAAAUAGAAGCGGACCAGUGGUUCAAUCUUCCUUCAUCAUCUUCAAAAAGAAUAACACCCAAGGGCACAUAGGAUUGGCUUCUCUACAUUUCAAUUUAAGAGAAAUGGAAAGAAGACUCAUCUACCACUGAAGAUACCUGAACUCAAAAAUGAAAAAUAAGAUGGCCUCCCUGAUCAGCUCCAGGUUCUUCCUUCCUAGUUCUGGCUCCUGGACACCUCAUGACCACAUUGCGCAUUUGCACUCUUAGUGAGUGCUGCUCAUAACAGGGUAUUAUGAUUCCUCUUAUAGAGUCCACCUUUCAUUCCAAAUUGUGAGGCUGCUGGAUGGCAGAAUAAGUUCUGGG
rnacentral:lncRNA from 10 species